CCUACGGGGUGCAGCAGUGGGGAAUAUUGGGCAAUGGGCGCAAGCCUGACCCAGCAAUGCCGCGUGAAGGUCAAUGGCUUUCGGGUUGUAAACUUCUUUUAUAGGGGAAGAGCAGAAGACGGUACCCUGAAAACAAGCCACGGCUAACUACGUGCCAGCAGCCGCGGUAAUACGUAGGUGGCAAGCGUUGUCCGGAUUUACUGGGUGUAAAGGGCGUGUAGCCGGGAAGGCAAGUCAGAUGUGAAAUCUGGAGGCUCAACCUCCAAAGUGCAUUUGAAACUGUGUUUCUUGAGUACUGGAGAGGCAGAAGGAAUGCCUUGUGUAGCGGUGAAAUGCGUAGAUAUAAGGAGGAACACCGGUGGCGAAGGCGGUCUGCGGGACAGCAAUUGACGGUGAGGCGCGAAAGCGUGGGGAGCAAACAGGAUUAGAUACCCGAGUAGUC
rnacentral:rRNA from 1 species